GACGAACGCUGGCGGCGUGCUUAACACAUGCAAGUCGAACGGAAAGGCCUGCUUUCCCUUGUGGAUUGCGGGUACUCGAGUGGCGAACGGGUGAGUAACACGUGAGUGAUCUGCCCCCAACUUGGGUAUAAGCCUGGGAAACUGGGUCUAAUUCCCGAUAGGACUGCAGGGUGGUGCCUGUGGUGGAAAACGAUUUUCUAGUGGUUGGGGAUGAGCUCGCGGCCUAUCAGCUUGUUGGUGGGGUAAUGGCCUACCAAGGCGGCGACGGGUAGCCGGCCUGGGAGGGUGGACGGCCACAUUGGGACUGAGAUACGGCGCAGACUCCUACGGGAGGCAGCAGUGGGGAAUAGUGCACAAUGGGCGGAAGCCUGAUGCAGCGACGCCGCGUGGGGGAUGACGGCCUUCGGGUUGUAAACUCCUUUCGACCGCGAGGAAGCCACCUGGUUGGAAGGGUGGUGACGGUAGUGGUAGAAGAAGCACCGGCUAACUACGUG
rnacentral:rRNA from 1 species